GAUGAACGCUGGCGGCGUGCUUAACACAUGCAAGUCGAACGGAAAGGCCGAAGCUUGCUUCGGUACUCGAGUGGCGAACGGGUGAGUAACACGUGGGUGAUCUGCCCUGUACUUCGGGAUAAGCUUGGGAAACUGGGUCUAAUACCGGAUAUGACGAUCUCUUGGAUGGGGUUGUGGAAAGCUUUUGCGGUAUGGGAUGAGCUCGCGGCCUAUCAGCUUGUUGGUGGGGUAAUGGCCUACCAAGGCGUCGACGGGUAGCCGGCCCGAGAGGGUGUACGGCCACAUUGGGACUGAGAUACGGCCCAGACUCCUACGGGAGGCAGCAGUGGGGAAUAUUGCACAAUGGGCGCAAGCCUGAUGCAGCGACGCCGCGUGGGGGAUGACGGCCUUCGGGUUGUAAACUCCUUUCGCAAUCGACGAAGCCUUUUGGUGACGGUAGGUUGAGAAGAAGCACCGGCUAACUACGUG
rnacentral:rRNA from 1 species